UACAGAGGGUGCAAGCGUUAAUCGGAAUUACUGGGCGUAAAGCGUGCGCAGGCGGUCUUGCAAGACAGAGGUGAAAUCCCCGGGCUCAACCUGGGAACUGCCUUUGUGACUGCAAGGCUAGAGUACGGCAGAGGGGGAUGGAAUUCCGCGUGUAGCAGUGAAAUGCGUAGAUAUGCGGAGGAACACCGAUGGCGAAGGCAAUCCCCUGGGCCUGUACUGACGCUCAUGCACGAAAGCGUGGGGAGCAAACAGG
rnacentral:rRNA from 1 species